rnacentral:rRNA from 1 species
AUUGAACGCUGGCGGCAGGCCUAACACAUGCAAGUCGAGCGGAUGAGGAGAGCUUGCUCUCUGAUUCAGCGGCGGACGGGUGAGUAAUGCCUAGGAAUCUGCCUGAUAGUGGGGGACAACGUUUCGAAAGGAACGCUAAUACCGCAUACGUCCUACGGGAGAAAGUGGGGGAUCUUCGGACCUCGCGCUAUCAGAUGAGCCUAGGUCGGAUUAGCUAGUUGGUGGGGUAACGGCUCACCAAGGCGACGAUCCGUAACUGGUCUGAGAGGAUGAUCAGUCACACUGGAACUGAGACACGGUCCAGACUCCUACGGGAGGCAGCAGUGGGGAAUAUUGGACAAUGGGCGAAAGCCUGAUCCAGCCAUGCCGCGUGUGUGAAGGAGGCCCUCGGGUCGUAAAGCACUUUAAGCUGGGAGGAAGGGUUGUAACCUAAUACGUUGCAGCUUUGACGUUACCAGCAGAAUAAGCACCGGCUAACUCUGUGCCAGCAGCCGCGGUAAUACAGAGGGUGCAAGCGUUAAUCGGAAUUACUGGGCGUAAAGCGCGCGUAGGUGGCUUGGUAAGUUGAAUGUGAAAUCCCCGGGCUCAACCUGGGAACUGCAUUGGAAACUGGAAAACUUGAGUGCAGAAGAGGGUGGUGGAAUUCCCAUGUGUAGCGGUGAAAUGCGCAGAGAUAUGGAGGAACACCAGUGGCGAAGGCGACUUUCUGGUCUGUAACUGACGCUGAUGUGCGAAAGCGUGGGGAUCGAACAGGAUUAGAUACCCUGGUAGUCCACGCCGUAAACGAUGAGUGCUAAGUGUUAGGGGGUUUCCGCCCCUUAGUGCUGCAGCUAACGCAUUAAGCACUCCGCCUGGGGAGUACGACCGCAAGGUUGAAACUCAAAGGAAUUGACGGGGACCCGCACAAGCGGUGGAGCAUGUGGUUUAAUUCGAAGCAACGCGAAGAACCUUACCAAAUCUUGACAUCCUUUGACAACUCUAGAGAUAGAGCCUUCCCCUUCGGGGGACAAAGUGACAGGUGGUGCAUGGUUGUCGUCAGCUCGUGUCGUGAGAUGUUGGGUUAAGUCCCGCAACGAGCGCAACCCUUAAGCUUAGUUGCCAUCAUUAAGUUGGGCACUCUAAGUUGACUGCCGGUGACAAACCGGGGGAAGGUGGGGGUGACGUCAAAUCAUCAUGCCCCUUAUGAUUUGGGCUACACACGUGCUACAAUGGACAAUACAAAGGGCAGCGAAACCGCGAGGUCAAGCAAAUCCCAUAAAGUUGUUCUCAGUUCGGAUUGUAGUCUGCAACUCGACUACAUGAAGCUGGAAUCGCUAGUAAUCGUAGAUCAGCAUGCUACGGUGAAUACGUUCCCGGGUCU